rnacentral:misc_RNA from 1 species
AAGUCGUAACAAGGUUUCCGUAGGUGAACCUGCGGAAGGAUCAUUAGUGAAAUGAGGAGUGAGGAGUGGGGGUUGGAUUGAGAUGGCUUUUAUUUAUACUUGAAUAAACGUAGUCACACCAUUAUAUCAUACAUAUCCUACUACAAACAACAAUAAUCAACAAACACAGCUCUCAGCCACGGAUAUCUAGGUUCUC